rnacentral:rRNA from 1 species
GCGAACGGGUGAGUAACACGUGAGUAACCUGCCCUUAACUCUGGGAUAAGCCUGGGAAACUGGGUCUAAUACCGGAUAUGACUCCUCAUCGCAUGGUGGGGGGUGGAAAGCUUUAUUGCGGUUUUGGAUGGACUCGCGGCCUAUCAGCUUGUUGGUGAGGUAAUGGCUCACCAAGGCGACGACGGGUAGCCGGCCUGAGAGGGUGACCGGCCACACUGGGACUGAGACACGGCCCAGACUCCUACGGGAGGCAGCAGUGGGGAAUAUUGCACAAUGGGCGCAAGCCUGAUGCAGCGACGCCGCGUGAGGGAUGACGGCCUUCGGGUUGUAAACCUCUUUCAGUAGGGAAGAAGCGAAAGUGACGGUACCUGCAGAAGAAGCGCCGGCUAACUACGUGCCAGCAGCCGCGGUAAUACGUAGGGCGCAAGCGUUAUCCGGAAUUAUUGGGCGUAAAGAGCUCGUAGGCGGUUUGUCGCGUCUGCCGUGAAAGUCCGGGGCUCAACUCCGGAUCUGCGGUGGGUACGGGCAGACUAGAGUGAUGUAGGGGAGACUGGAAUUCCUGGUGUAGCGGUGAAAUGCGCAGAUAUCAGGAGGAACACCGAUGGCGAAGGCAGGUCUCUGGGCAUUAACUGACGCUGAGGAGCGAAAGCAUGGGGAGCGAACAGGAUUAGAUACCCUGGUAGUCCAUGCCGUAAACGUUGGGCACUAGGUGUGGGGGACAUUCCACGUUUUCCGUACCGUAGCUAACGCAUUAAGUGCCCCGCCUG